GCCAAUUUUGGAAUAAUAAUGGGGGGUCAUGGUAUAAUAUAGAAGAUAAAAUGUGGGACCUGGUUUGUACGUGGUGUGGUGUAAUGGUACAAGUGAGGGGAGUGGAGAUAUAAGAGAAGAUAAAAUGUGGGAUCUGUUUUGUACAUGCUGUGGUGUAAUGGUACAAGUGAGGGGAGUGGAGAUAUAAGAGAAGAUAAAAUGUGGGACCUGGUUUGUACAUGCUGCGGUGUAAUGGUACAAGUGAGGGGAGUGGAGAUAAGACAGAAGAUAAAAUGUGGGACCUGGUUUGUACGUGCUGCAGUGUAAUGGUACAAGUGAGGGGAGUGGAGAUAAGAGAAAAUAUAAAAUGGUGGACCUGGUUUGUACGUGCAGUGGUGUAAUGGUACAAGUCAGGGGAGUGGAUAUAAGAGAAAAAAUAAAAUGUGGGACCUGGAUUGUACGUGCUGCGGUGUAAUAGUGCAAGUGAGGGGAGUGGAGAUAAGACAGAAGAUAAAAUGUGGGACCUGGUUUGUACGUGCUGUGGUGUAAAGGUACAAGUCAGGGGAGUGGAGAUGAGAGAAGA